AUGGAAGUCAUUGCAACUGCAAUACUUUCAACAUGAAGUUCACUCUUUUUUUCGGCAUUGUACUGGCUUUGAUCGCUCUGGCUUUCGCCAAUCCGAACCCCAUGCCUAAUCCCAAUCCGGUUGCCGAUUGUGGCGAAGCCCAUCUGGAGCUCGAACAUGGCGGCAAGUAAACUGCUAAGCUGUGUGCAAUGUAUAUUCGUCGACGACCUGAACAUUUUUAGUUUAUGUUUCAAUAAAAAAAUUCCAUCUCCCUUAAGCGAAA